GACGAACGCUGGCGGCGUGCUUAACACAUGCAAGUCGAACGGAAAGGCCCUGCUUUUGUGGGGUGCUCGAGUGGCGAACGGGUGAGUAACACGUGAGUAACCUGCCCUUGACUUUGGGAUAACUUCAGGAAACUGGGGCUAAUACCGGAUAGGAGCUCCUGCUGCAUGGUGGGGGUUGGAAAGUUUCGGCGGUUGGGGAUGGACUCGCGGCUUAUCAGCUUGUUGGUGGGGUAGUGGCUUACCAAGGCUUUGACGGGUAGCCGGCCUGAGAGGGUGACCGGCCACAUUGGGACUGAGAUACGGCCCAGACUCCUACGGGAGGCAGCAGUGGGGAAUAUUGCACAAUGGGCGGAAGCCUGAUGCAGCAACGCUGCGUGCGGGAUGACGGCCUUCGGGUUGUAAACCGCUUUCGCCUGUGACGAAGCGUGAGUGACAGUAAUGGGUAAAGAAGCACCGGCUAACUACGUG
rnacentral:rRNA from 1 species